GCGGCUGUAGCUCAGCGGUCGAGCUCCUGGUUGUGGUCCAGGCGGUCGUGGGUUCAAAUCCCACCAGUCGCC
rnacentral:tRNA from 1 species